UAUCUAGAGGUGUUUAGGCACAGAAAAUUUUGAUUUUUCAGGGUUUGGUUUACCAAUAUGGAUAU
rnacentral:tRNA from 1 species